GACGAACGCUGGCGGCGUGCUUAACACAUGCCAGUCGAACGGAAAGGCCCUGCUUUUGUGGGGUGCUCGAGUGGCGAACGGGUGAGUAACACGUGUGUAUCCUGCCCUUGACUUUGGGAUAACUUCAGGAAACUGGGGCUAAUACCCGAUAGGAGCUCCUGCUGCAUGGGGGGGGUUGGAAAGUUUCGGCGGUUGGAGAUGGAAUCGGGGGUUACGCUCUUGUUUGGGGGGUAGGGGCUUUCCAAGGAUUUGACGGAUACCAGGCCUGGGAGGGUGACCGGCCACAAUGGUACUGAGAUACGGCCCAGACUGCUACGGGAGGCAACAGUGGAAAAUAUUGCACAGUGGGGGGAAGCCUGAUACAGCAGCGCCGGGUGCGGGAUGACGGCCUUCGGGUUGUAAACCGCUUUCGCCUGUGACGAAGCGUGAGUGACGGUAAUGGGUAAAGAAGCACCGGCUAACUACGUG
rnacentral:rRNA from 1 species